rnacentral:rRNA from 1 species
UCAGAACGAACGCUGGCGGCAGGCCUAACACAUGCAAGUCGUACGAGAAGGUUKCUUCGGGAACUGGAGAGUGGCGCACGGGUGAGUAACGCGUGGGGACCUACCUCUUAGUGGGGGAUAACGGUUGGAAACGACCGCUAAUACCGCAUACGCCUUCGGGGGAAAGAUUUAUCGCUAAGAGAUGGACCCGCGUUGGAUUAGAUAGUUGGUGAGGUAAUGGCUCACCAAGUCGGCGAUCCAUAGCUGGUUUGAGAGGAUGAUCAGCCACACUGGGACUGAGACACGGCCCAGACUCUACGGGAGGCAGCAGUGGGGAAUAUUGGACAAUGGGGGCAACCCUGAUCCAGCCAUGCCGCGUGAGUGAAGAAGGCCUUCGGGUUGUAAAGCUCUUUCAGAUGCGAAGAUGAUGACGGUAACAUCAGAAGAAGCCCCGGCUAAUUUCGUGCCAGCAGCCGCGGUAAUACGAAAGGGGCAAGCGUUGUUCGGAUUUACUGGGCGUAAAGGGCACGCAGGCGGUCUUGCCAGUCAGGGGUGAAAGCCCGGGGCUCAACCCCGGAACUGCCUCUGAUACUGCAAGACUAGAGACUAGGAGAGGGUGGUGGAAUUCCCAGUGUAGAGGUGAAAUUCGUAGAUAUUGGGAGGHACACCAGAGGCGAAGGCGGCCACCUGGACUAGAUCUGACGCUCAGGUGCGAAAGCGUGGGGAGCAAACAGGAUUAGAUACCCUGGUAGUCCACGCCGUAAACGAUGAGUGCUAGUUGUCGGGACUUCGGUUUCGGUGACGCAGCUAACGCAUUAAGCACUCCGCCUGGGGAGUACGGUCGCAAGAUUAAAACUCAAAUGAAUUG